rnacentral:rRNA from 1 species
AGAGUGAACGCUGGCGGUAGGCCUAACACAUGCAAGUCGAACGGCAGCACAGUGGUAGCAAUACCAUGGGUGGCGAGUGGCGGACGGGUGAGGAAUACAUCGGAAUCUACCUUUUCGUGGGGGAUAACGUAGGGAAACUUACGCUAAUACCGCAUAAGACCUUCGGGUGAAAGCCGGGGACCUUCGGGCCUGGCGCGGAUAGAGUGAGCCGAUGUCGGAUUAGCUUGUUGGCGGGUAAAAGCCCACAAGGCGACGAUCCGUAGCUGGUCUGAGAGGAUGAUCAGCCACACUGGAACUGAGACACGGUCCAGACUCCGUACGGGAGCAGCAGUGGGAAUAGUUGGACAAUGGGCGCAAGCCUGAUCCGAGCCAUACCGCGUGGGUGAAGAAGGCCUUACGGGUUGUAAACGUCCCGUUUUAGUAGGAAAGUAAGUCCGUGACCGUUAAGUUAACCGAAGUAAGGAGUUA